rnacentral:lncRNA from 1 species
GUUUGCUGAGAGUGUCCCAUAUGUGUUCACACAACGGGAUGUAAAUAGAGAUGGUGUUAUAAACGUUAAGGAAAUGCCUUUAAAAAGAGGAAGAGGUGCCCUUCUUUCUCACUUCCUGCUUGCUGGAAUGCAGCUGUAAUGAGUGGAGGUCCAGCAGCCAUUUUGGACCAUGAGUCGGCUUUGGGAAUGCAUGGUAGGAUAAUAAGAUGGAAGGAACAUGGCUCCUUGACCCUGUGGGAUGGCACACCAGCCCAGUAUUUCCUGUUGCUGGACUUCUCAAAAGUAAGAGAAGAAUAAAACUUACCUUAAGACGCUAUUUUUAGGGGCUUUGUUUUCCUCAAAGCUGAACCCAACCUCAAUCAAUACUGGUGUCAAAAUGGAACUUUCUCCUCUGUCCUCCCGGCCAGAGCCUGGCUGUGUCCGUGCUGAAGUGAGGACCAUGUGUCCCUCCCCAGCUCUGCUGCCCACCGUUUCCCUUGGGCUCCCCAGCAGAAGGUCCCCAGCUUCCCAGUGCAGCGCUGCUCGCUGCUGUCUGUUUCUCCUCUGGCAACGCGUUAUUCUGGCCUUCUCAUACUUCGCCGAACACAGGAAUCCCACUGGGGCUUGGUCAAGUGCAGGUUCUGACUCAGCAAGUCUGCAGGUGGGGCUGGAGAGUCUGCAUUUCUAACAAGUUUUCAGUUGGUGUUGCAGACCAUGAUUUGAAAACUAAGCUGUUGGGAUGCUCGCCUGCGAGCUUCUUGAAGGCACGGACCAUGUGGAAGUCACCUGUUUCCACGAUGCUUGGCACAUAACAGGUGCUCAGUGUGUGCAGAAGACUGACCGAGUGGUCGGCAGUUAGUGCGCCAGAUGCCCAGGCGUCCUGCAGAGAGGAGCCGCCGCUCUCUUUACUGUGCGUGUCUCAAAUUCAUCUUCACUGGAGCCCUAUCUUCAGACAUGCUGUCAACAUCCUGUGGAAAUCGUGCUCUGAGAAACCCACUUGGCGGACUCUGAUUUUGGGAGGUCUCUGCGACCCUGUGACAGUGCGAGCCAGUCUCCAUAUGGGAGUCUCGGUGCCAGGAUUCUGUUUGGGUGUCUGCUUCAGCAAUCAGGAGAAAUUGUUUCAGCCCAGACUCCCUGUACCCCCCAGGGCCUGCAAACUCCUUGAAGGGACAUAUUAAAUAUAUUAAAAUAUAGGAGCCAGUGCAAUUACUAAGGUGUUCAUCUUUCCUCUUCCUCGGCAGUGCCCAUCAGGCCUAUGACCCCCUCAGGGCCAUGGGAGCCUGAGUUGUUUGCCAGUUAGCAUGUUCCUGUGGAUUUGUUCAAAUGUGUGUGUUCCCAGGCUGAGCCCCGGCGGAAGUGCCGGGGAGGAAGCUGAAGGAGUCUGAAGCUGGGGAAAAGGCUGCACCUCCUCCAGGGAUGAGGCUGCUGAGGUGAAGCCUGGAGCUGUUUCCUGUAAGAGGAGCCUGCUGGGCUCUGGGGGGGCUGCCUUUGCCAGCUUCAAGGGAAGGAGGGCAGCCGGGAGCUGGGGCUUUGUCAUCCCUCUGCGGGAGCAUCCUCAGAAAUGCAGGCCUGGCUGUCUGCUCAGGAGCCCUAAGGGUGGCCUGUAGCCCCCAAGGGGUCGAAUUCGCUGGUUCUAGUCAUGGGGUCUACACAGUGCAUCCCUUGGACUAGAACUUGGACAUCUAGCCCUUUGUCCUCAUUUCGGGUCUUCCCAUCAACUCUGGAUCCAUAGGGACAAUCCUACUCAACAUCCUCUUAUGUGUGUCAGAAGAUACGGCCCCUAGGAAGCCACAGGAGUAGAGGGACAGGCAUUCUUUAAAGCGCCACAGAAUGAGAUUUUAAAAAAAGAUUAAAUGAAAAGGGAAUUAAUGAGAAAAGGAAACACUCACUGUAAGAGAAACUAAAAAUGUAAUCACAGAAUUAAAACUCACCAUUAAUCCCUUGGUGAGAUUAAAGAGCAGAAUUGGUACUGUAAAAUAUUAAAUCAGUGCUGUAGAGGUCAAGGUUGAAAAAUCUCAUCAAAAGUGUAGGGAAAAAGAAAAAGAAGUUGAAAUGACGAGAGGAAAGUGUAUAGGUAUGGAGAUCAGAGAAGAAGGCAGUGCCAGCAGGCACUCGAUGCUUCUGAGGGUGAGUGGAGAGAAGCGCCCCCAACAGGUGAGAGAGGACCACACUAAUCCUGAGUGUGAGGCUGGGAAGGGAGAAACGCGUGCCAGGCAAACAUCGCUGAAAAUGGACAGAUACCCAGGCACCUCACCAAAAGAAUCAGGAUUUAAAAAAUCCUGCAAGUAUAUACGCAGAAUAAAGAGGAAACCCAUGAAGGAAGAAAAAUCAGCCUGGCUUCAAACUCUUAUUGCUCUCACGUCCAAAGGAGGACGUCUGCAGCAUUUUCAGGAGAAUAAAGAAAAUAUUGUGAUCCAAUAAUUGGAUGCCCCACCAAGGUACAUUUAAUGGACCUUAUACUAAUGUUCUCAGGAAGGAGACCUCAAAUAUUUAAGGUUUAAAAACACCCUUUACCCUUUUGAACAAGGAUCUUGGAGAAGUAUUCAAGACCGUCACGAAAUGAAGCGAAUUUAAGAACUGAGAGUGGAGAAGCCGCGUACAAAGGGACAGGGGUAAGUGCCUGUUAGAGAAAAUCUAAGAAGUUGUAAAUGUGGUACAAAAUUUAAUGGAAGUUAAAAAGAUUCUCAAAGAGGCAAGAGGACUUAGGAAAUACUGACUUUCUCUUGCCUGAUAUUUAGAAAAAAUAUGGGUUAAAGAAUACUUUCAAAAAAAUUAAAAAUAAACUGUUGAAAUAUAGAUAGAAUAUAUAUAAUAUAUAAAUAUACAUAAUAUGGAGUGCAUUUAAUGUAUAAUUACAUAACAUACAAUGUAAUAUGUAUGUAUGUAUACACACACACACGCUCUCUCUCUCUCUUUCUAGGGAAGAUAAAAAGCAAAGACUACGUGGUCCAUACACCAAACAGUAAACACUAGAAAGAACAGGAAAGAACUAAAAUAUUCUUUAGGUGAUAGAUACAAUACUAAAUAUCUGUCAAAUAAUUAAUGUAAAUGCGUUACAUUUCGUUAUUUUAAGAAAUAAACUCUUGGACUGUGCGCUGCCUAGAAAAGAAACUUUCAAACAAAGCGAGACAGGAAUGUAAGAAGCACACGGGGCCCAGCAGCCCCACUCCCGGGCGGUCACCUAAAGGAACCGAGAGCAGGGACGCGAACGGACUCUUGUACACCGAUGCUAAGAGUUGCGUUGUUCGCAAUAGCAAAAGGUGGAAACAAUCCAAGUGUCCACCAACAGAUGAAUAAAUAAACCAAAUGUGGUGCACAUGUGCAAAGGAACAUUAUUCAGCCAUGAAAAGGAAUGAAGUUCCGACACAUGCUACAUGGGUGAAGCCUGAGCACAUUAUGCUCAGUAAGAGAAGCCCAAUACAAAAGGAUAAAUGUUGUAUGAUUCCAUUUAUAUGAGGUGCUUAGACUAAGCAAAUUCCUAGAGACAGAAAGUUGAUUAGAAGUUAACCAGCAGAUUUGUUGUUUGGUAGGUCCUUUAAGCUGGUUCCUGUGUCCUUUUGACUCGUCUCUGUCAUUCUUUGAGUACUUCUUGCUUUCUAGAAUGACAAGAUGUACUUUCCCCUUCUAAACCCUGGAGUCAGCUAUUUCUCCAAGGAGUCCUUGUCCCUUUCAGUGGAGAAUGGUGUUUAGAGCCCACAUCUGGGCACAAGUUGUGCUCAUUGCUACGGUGUCACUGCUCCCAGCCCCUUUCAGUAGAAUUAGUGAAUUAGCUUGGCCUCCCAACCGUGGAGUUUGCAGUGGCUCUCCCUCUGCUGAAUGUGACAGAAAUUGGGGGACAGGCACCAAAGGAGCUUUUUUCUUAACCCCUGUCUGUCCUACAAAUAGAACAAUUUUGACAAAACCCUCCAUUUGAGUCACACCCAAGGGGGACUAAAGCCUCCUAGCUCACUGUUGGCUAUUAAAAUGUCACUUAACUCUCCUACUCACCCUGAGCUCUAGCAGUGGCCUUACUCUUGUCUUGGCUCAACUUUUCUCUCCAUAGUUGACAUUCAUGGGUCUAAGGCAUGGCAGGACCCAGGCCUCCUCCCAGUGAGGGUGGGGGAGUGGGGCAAGUGUCGCCAGGGAGCUCAUGUCCCUCAGCAAGUCCUCAUUCCAAGCAGGGACAAAGAAAGGCAAGAAAUGCCAGCUUUGAAGUUCCUGCUGCUCACUCCCAGGAGAGGGAGCUGCCGCGGCACGGGGGCCUACAGCAGUCAGGGCUGGGAAGAAGCUCUGAUUCUGGAAAUCCAGAGGAAAGCAUGACUUCAGACUCCUUUUCUAAGAAAGGGCCCUUUGCUACCCACAUGGAGUGACCUGUAGACAAGGUUGUUAUUUCUCAUAGAAAUAGUCAGUCCUUCUCUGUCUCUCUUCCUUGUCCCCAGGCCAGAGCAAAGCCCGUAAGUGAUUCCCAGAGAGGAGAGGUCAGGAAAAGGAGUCCUAUGACCUGGGGGGUGGUGCCCUCAGGCCUGGGUCCCCCAGUAGUCAUCAGCCCCUUCCUCCCAUACUUCUGAGGACUUGGAUGUGCUUCUUGCCUCAUCGCCAUUGAUUCAAAUCUGCCCGCUGUGCCUGUUGCUUGGGUCAGAUGGCCAUUUUGAAUUCAGACAUCUCAUACCCUGUAGACAGCAGCCCGUUGUGCCUGUCUUACUCACUCUGUAGCUCGUGGAGUCUCCCUCAGCAGCUUUAUUGAAAUUUAAUACACACCAUACAAUUCACCCAUUUAAAGUGUGUACAAGUCAACAGUUUUUAGUAAAUUCCCAGAUUUGUGCAACUAUCACUAUAGUCAAUAUAAGAACAUUUUCAUCACCUCAAAAAAAGAAACUCUGUACCCUUUAGCUAUCACCUAUGUAUCUCCCCAUCCCCUGGCCCUAAGCAGCCACUAAUCUACUCUCUCUGGCUGUGGAGUUCCCUAUCCUGGACUUUCCUGAGUGGACUCAUGUAGGAUGCGGUCUUCUGUGACCGGCCUGAUUCACUUAGGGUAAGGUUUUCCAGGAUCAUCCAUGUUGUGGGGUGUAGCAGUGCUUUGUUUCUCCCGCUCUUCCCUCGAGGGUGGUGAGCAGGCCAAGGGCGGCUUCACGGAGUGGAAGACUAUCUCCGGAGACCCCCAAGCCCAGGCUCAGGGAGAACGUUGCUUCAUUUCCAGUGGGGCCUGGCUCAUUUCAAGGCAUUUCAUUCACCUCCUCCUUAGGCAGCUGGUGCCCCAGAGACCCGUAACUUCUGGUGCCAAACAGGAACCAACAAAGGCCGUUUGUGAUGGCUGUUGAUGCUGCUUUGAUAGAAUUGACCUCAAAGAAGCCAUUUGAUUUUGGGGUGGUGACGAGUGUGCUUCAUGUGAAUAAAAAGCCACAUGUGCAUGGUUCUUUGGCAGCAGGGGAAGUCCAGACACGCGUGAACGAUUUCUUGAGUGUAGAAGAGAGUCCCGAAUUCGAGGUGACAAGAAUUGCAUUUGAGAAAGUCUUCAGGCUCCACCGGUAAUUCUCAGUGGGGCUUAGCAAGGCGUUUCAAAGACCAGGAAAGGGAAAGUGUAAACACCGGAGCAGCACAAAAUGCAGCCCAAGGACGGCUAGGCCAGGGAUCCUCAGGGCUUCAGGGCAGACGCCGGACGUGGCUUCCAGACCUCUCAAGACCACAAGAGACUGUGCUGUUUGAUUCUCCAAGAUGGCUCUCGGCAUGUUGUUUAAUGUAAUUUACAUACAACAUCACCAAUUUUAAGUGUACAACUCAAUAGUUUUGACAAACGUUUUCAGCCAUGUAACCGUGACCACAAUCAAGAUAUGAAACUUUUCUGUCACGGUAAACACUUUCCUGGGGACUCUUUACAGCCAGUUCCCUUUGCGCGCUCGGUCACUGCAACCGCGGAUGUGCUUCUAGUUGUGCCUGCUGUGGGCUCUGGAUCUGACUCCGUGCUUCGCCCUCAGCUUCGCGUCACAUCCUGCAGUCCUGGCUGCCUCUGCCUCCUUGAACUCUGAUCGACCCCUCAACCCAGUAGGUCUGCUGGUUUCAGCUUGGGUCCCCCUCCUGUGCUGUGGCCUGGAAACUCCCUCAGGAAGGUAGCUGGGACAACUGUGGGCCUCCCCUGGGGACCUUCCUGUAUCAGGAGUCACAGUCCUGGACCCUGGGUCCAAUGGCUGUACAAGAGUUUACCCACUUUGUUUGGUUUUCAGUUGUUUAGGCGAGGAGGACAAUUUCUGUAGCAGCUGACCCUUCGAGAGCAGAAGUGCGAGUGUUCUGACUCCUAGCUGGCUACCUGCCUGAUGAUCGCGUGUUCCCUGGAGCCACCAGAAGAAAGCGCUUCAGGUGCAUUCGGGCAGCUGGCCCCUCCCCUGAGGCAGGUGUUCAGUUUGAGUUAAAAUGGAACAGUUGUGUUUCCGGUUUGAAACUCACUGCCUCCUCGAGGCGUGAAGAAAUAUACAGAUGCCUUUUAGUCAUAAUCAUUCAUUUUGAAGUAAUUUCAAAUUUGGUGAAAAGUUGCAGGACCAGUUGUACAAAGAACUCUCAUGAUUGUCAGCUGUCCCAACAGAGUCUCUGUUCCGUCUCUGCUCCAGGACCAAGCCAGGCCAAUGGGUUGCAUUCAGCAAUCAUGUCUCCUCCGUCUCCUUCGGUCUGGGACAGCCCCUCAGUCUUUUCUGCUCAUGCAAAUCCCCGACAGUUUUAAAGGGGACAGGCCUCUCGUUCUGGGGCAGAUUCCUCAGUCUGAGUCCAGCAAAUCUUCCUAGCCUCCAGACUUGGGCCUUGCUUUCUUGGCAGAAAUCAUGUAAAAAUGACACUAGAUUCUUUCAAUGUACCAUGUCGAGGAGCACACGAUGUCAAUCGUCCCACCACUGUUGAUUUAAUUUUAGUCACCUGCUUACAUUGUUGUCUGCCAACUUUCUCGAUAAAAGCACUGUUUUACCCUUUGUAACCCGUGGGCACAUGUUCUGAGGCCGUGCCAAUAUCCACAGGUGCAUUUUCCAGGGAGUAAACCAUCUGUGAUCUAACUUUGCCCUAAAGAAUAACAACGAUAGGGGCUGCCCCAUGGCCGAGCAGUUGGGUUCAUGCACUCCGCUGUGGCGGCCCGGGGUUUCACUGGUUUGGACCUGGCGCUGCUCCUCAGGCCACACUGAGGUGGCAUCCCGCUUGGUAGAGCUAGAAAGACCUACAACUAGAAUAUACACCUAUGUACUGUGGGGCUCUGGGGAGAAGAAGAAAAAAAAGAGAUUGGCAACAGAUGUUAGCUCAGGGCCAAUCUUUAAAAAAAAAAAAGUGAAUAACAACAAUAGAGCAGGAGCUAUCAUCCAAUGAGCAUCUGUUGUAUGCCAGGCACCACGCCAAGCACAUCACACAUCUUAAUUUAAUCCUCACAUUCUGUGUGUUAGGUACCACUUUCAUUCCCGUCUACAGAUGAGGAAACUAUCUGUGGCGAUGGUUUUGGAGUAGCACACAUCAAUGCUACCUACUCAGUCUCCUUGAGUACUAAAAGAUUUUUUCCACUGAGUGCAAAAAAACUAUAGAAGACGUUAGGCAAGGAAGCGUUAAAGGCACCAAGCAGAAGCGGUUGAAUUUUUCCCUUGUAGCUCUCAGGAUCCUGUUUUUGGCAGCUAAUAACCCAGAGGUUGCAUUUGAGGCUUUAGUAGCUAAUACGCCUUAAAAUCUGCAGGUGUUUUAAAACUGGGUCAAAGACAUUUAUUUAAAGCCACUGAAGUUGUCAAAAAUAAACCCCACUAAACCUCAUUAUUUCUACCCAUGUUAGGUCAGGUCAUGAAAGGAAAAUGAAAGAUAGUGACUAAAAAUGUCAACCCAGUCAAAGCCUUCUGGAAAUUUGCCAGCGCAGCCACCAGCCCCAAAGAGACCUAGAAUAUCAUCUCCACGGAUAAAGAUAAAACCCACCACAGGCAUUAUUAAAAUAUGAGAAUUGAUGGAACAAUUUGGAUACUGGUCAAAAAUUAUGAGACUAAAAUAUUUUCAAAUACCCUUGAGAAAGAAACCAUAAUUUUCUCCCAUAUUAAUUAUAAAUUAAGCACUGUCUAUCAGUCUCUGUUUCAGUUCUUAAUGAGUAUUUUUAUCUGAGUUCAUUUUUAUUAAAUCUCCCUUGGGAGAAGAAUGGUGGAUUUACAGAUAUUUUACCAGGGCCCAUUUAUUAUGGGCCAUUUGCUAUGGUCAUAAAUUUUGCGGUUGAGUGACAACGAGGGAGGAAGGAGAUGAGCAAGAAGUGGAUUGAGGCUGAGAAAUAGGGUGGGAUUAUAAGCGGGCUUGCACAGAGAACAAAGAGCUUUUACAUUUUGAUACAGCUCAAGAUGACCUUAAAAUGGCCUUUGAAUGAAAAUAGCGACAUUCAAAUGGACUGUUUCACUUGUAUGCCUGUUGUAACGGUCCCCCAAGUUCAAAGGGCUUGUGGCAUUCACAGGCAGAAAAGUGUUGGCUCUUUCUGAAGACCCUAAAGGCCCUGGAUCCGAUGCUGUGAGGCUAGCGUGCUGAACCAAAGUCCUGAGCUAGCGCGUGAGCCUGGCGGACUGCCUGCAUCCAAUGCCCACUGGGGUUUGUGUCCUCAAUUCAUCACUUAGCGACAGACUCUACUUAAGUGAUAAAACUUUGUUUUACUUUCUGAUUGUUGUGUGUGUGUAAUCAAUGGAGAGAAAACUUUAAUAAGAUCUUCAAAAGGCAAUUAACUAGUAGUGGGGGUGGGGAGUUGGGAGUACAGAAAAGACCAAUAUCUUGUUGGAAAUGUGGUUCCAGAAGUCAUGAACCUACAUUUCUGAGUUCAUUGUUUUGGUGGUUUGGAAAAGUUUGGAAAGUAUGGCAGAAAUGGCUUAUUUCCCUUUCUUCUGUGUGAUAGAAAUCAGAAGGUUUUUGAGUACAUGGCUGCCCAGAAGGCAGCUGCGUUUCCCAGACUUUGCUGCGGCUGGUGACAGCCGUGUGAUAAAGUUCUGCCCGACGAAAUGUAGGUGAAGUGUGCAGCCUGCCGGUUGUGUUCUUAAAGGGAAGGGCGUGUUCUCCCCUGCCCCUUCCAGCUGGCUGGAAUAUGGUCACGAGGUGAGGCAUCUUGGACCAGGUGGACGAGGGAGUCCCAGAAUGCUAGAGCAACAAGAAAGAGGAAGCCUGGGCCCCUGGCAACCUCACAGCUGAGCUGCCGUACCAGGCGAGACUUUUCCACCCGGGAGAAAUGAGCUUCUCUUUUGUGUAAGCGGCUGUUGUCUGGAUUUCUGAUGCAUGUAUCUGGACCUGUGUCUUAACCAAUCCCGUAGGGAAGCCAAAGAUCGAUUGUGCCCGCUCCCAUGCUCAUCUUCAUCACCCAGCUCUGAGCUCCUGCUGACGCUCUCUCCCCAUGUUUCCCUCCAGUUCCUCAGGGUGGCCCAGAACUGCGCUGGGCCCUGGUGCAGAAUAGGUGCUUGUGAAUAGUUAUUGACUGACUGAAUGAACGUGCUACGAUGUAGGCCAGCCUGUGGUGGCAGCUGUGAUGGAUGCAUCAGAAGAGCUGUGGAGAGGAAUUUACAUCUAGGAAUUUGUGUUUGGCUGUUUGUAACAGAGAACCCAAAUGAUGGCUUAACCAUGUAGUUAUUCAUUCUCUUCACACGGGGAGGGGCGGGGGCGGGUGGCUUCAGAAUUGGGUUUGGUGGUUCAGUGGUGUCAGGCCCUCUUCCUCAUGGUCACAAGAUGGUAGCCAGACUCAGACUAUCAUGUUUAUGUUCCAGGGAAGCAGGAAGGUAAAAAUGUUGAAAGGGAAAGCCAGCCAAGCCUGUCCCCUGCUGAAGGGCUCAGGCCACUCCUGAUGUUUGCAGGGCUCAGGACAAGAAUGCAAAGGGAGACCCAGCUACCAUACGUUUAUCUAUGUAAAAGUUGUAUUUCAAGCCAACAGACUCUUAAAUAACAUAUAUUCAUCUUCCUGCCUUGAUCAACAGACCUUCAGAGAGGCGGGAUCAAGGAUAUAUGUCAAACUAUAAUUUUUAUAUGACUGAGAAUCAACAAGGCACCGAAAAGAAGUGAAUUUAAUUAAG